rnacentral:lncRNA from 1 species
UGGAACUUAGAGUGCAUGGAUGUGGUGGGUGUCAAGAGAAUAUGGGCAGGGUGCUGAUGGCAUCUGUUAUAUCAUCCCAGCACUCUUUCUUAGGAAACUACUGGAGGAUGUGCUCCACCAAAACAAUGGAAUGAGUCAUGAAAGAGGAAGAGGUGGAAUCCAAGAACUAGAAUAUUCAACACAAGAGGUGAAGGGAAUUCCCAGGAUGUGAUGAAGGGAGAUCCCAAGGUGAGAGCUGUACAGCAAGCCUACAGGUGAACCAGCCCAGAUAGGAGCAGAUCAGAAGGCUCUGAAAAGACUUUCUUUAAGGGCUUCUCCUUUUGAGGAGGAUGAGACAGAGAAUGUGCGUCAUUCCUGGGAAGCCGAUAAGGAAGCUGGGAAGAAGUCUCAUUGAGAGGAGUAUCUUUCACCUCUCACUAAAUUAACUGUGCUCCUUGGAACCAUGGACAUCUUUCUGCUGUAGCAGCAAUAGGAUCAAAGCACGUGUUUAGAAAGAGAAGUGAAAAACACCAGAUGUGAGCAAAACCACAAGGGGAAUUUCAGACAGGCAGCGUGCACCAGAUUACCCAAUUUGGAAUGUGGCCCAGGCCUCAGAACAGGCAGACCCUCAAAGGAUCAGGCUGGAGGGACAGAGAUUAUUGAUCCUGAUUCAAGCCAAAUGCCACUAACUUGAUCUGUGACGUUGCUCAAGCCAUUGACCUCCUCCAAACCACUUUCACCAUCUAUAAGAUAGCAAGACUGGCUCAUUUCCUCUCAGGAACAGUAAAUGGAAACCAUGCUAAAAACUAGAGACAAGGGACCAAGGCCUGCAGAACUGAUCUAACUUGCCUGAGGGCCCACAGGGAACCCAUGUCAGACCUAGGCUAAAGCCACUGGCUUCCUGACUCCCAGUCUGGCCAUCUUUCUGUUGUUUCCACAUUGGAAGCUGAGCAAAGAUAAUUGAAAAAGUAUUUAUCUCUGGUUUUCUAAAGCUCAAGAGGGAUGAAAUAAAAAGAGAGGAGGGAGGCUGAGGGGGGGUGAGAGGUGUAAAAAGCAGAUUAACUUGCAUUACUUUCCUGAGUUUACACUGCUCCAGCACGCACCCAUGAAGGGUGAAGGGAAGUGGCAGAGCGUAGCCAACAUGGGAUUAAAGAUUGUGUCACAUCAAUCCCCAAAGCAAAUAAUCUACAUGUCCACAACUGAAGGGGGUGUGAUAGGGUGUCUUCUUUUUUCUGUCACACAUAGCUCUUUGGGUCUCCUCAGGCCACCCAAGAUCUA